rnacentral:tRNA from 1 species
GUUUUUAUAGUUUAACAAAAACAUGGGUCUGGUAAAUCAAAAUUAAGUAAUUUACUUUAAAAACU